AGGUCGAGAUUGGUGACAAU
rnacentral:miRNA from 1 species